GACGAACGCUGGCGGCGUGCUUAACACAUGCAAGUCGAACGGAAAGGCCCUGCUUUUGUGGGGUGCUCGAGUGGCGAACGGAUGAGUAACACGUGAGUAACCUGCCCUUGACUUUGGGAUAACUUCAGGAAACUGGGGCUAAUACCGGAUAGGAGCUCCUGCUGCAUGGUGGGGGUUGGAAAGUUUCGGCGGUUGGGGAUGGACUCGCGGCUUAUGAGCUUGUUGGUGGGGUAGUGGCUUACCAAGGCUUUGACGGGUAGCCGGCCUGAGAGGGUGACCGGCCACAUUGGGACUGAGAUACGGCCCAGACUCCUACGGGAGGCAGCAGUGGGGAAUAUUGCACAAUGGGCGGAAGCCUGAUUCAGCAACGCCGCGUGCGGGAUGACGGCCUUCGGGUUGUAAACCGCUUUCGCCUGUGACGAAGCGUGAGUGACGGUAAUGGGUAAAGAAGCACCGGCUAACUACGUG
rnacentral:rRNA from 1 species